GUCCACGCCGUAAACGAUGAGUGCUAGGUGUCACGGGCUUUGACCCUCGUGGUGCCGAAGCUAACGCGUUAAGCACUCCGCCUGGGGAGUACGGCCGCAAGGCUAAAACUCAAAGGAAUUGACGGGGGCCCCGCACAAGCGGUGGAGCAUGUUGUUUAAUUCGACGCAACGCGAAGAACCUUACCUGGGCUAGAAAACGCAAGAAGCCGGACGAAAGUUCGGGGUGCCCUUCGGGGAACUUGUGGUUAGGUGCUGCAUGGCUGUCGU
rnacentral:rRNA from 1 species